CUCUGUCAUUUUUUCUGCUCAAAUUAUAUCUCCACUGUAUUCCUGAUUUGACUAUUGAUCCAUAUCAUAGUCACUUAUAUCAAUAUUUCUGCCUGUUCACUAUAUAAGUACCAUAUCAUUUUCCCACAUCACUAAAAGUUAAGCAAAACAUCAAGGAAAAUCCAUCAAUAACUGUUAACAACUAAACAAGGUAUUGAAACCGGC